AACGAACGCUGGCGGCAGGCCUAACACAUGCAAGUCGAACGAAGGCCCGGAGCUUGCUCCGGUGUCCUUAGUGGCAGACGGGAUAGUAACGCGUGGGAAUUUGCCCAAUAGUACGGAAUAACUGCGGGAAACUGCAGCUAAUACCGUAUACGCCCUCCGGGGGAAAGAUUUAUCGCUAUUGGAUAAGCCCGCGUCGAAUUAGCUUGUU
rnacentral:rRNA from 1 species